GUCCAGAUGGUGUAGUGGUCAACGCAUCUGCCUAGCAAGCAGAAGCCCUGGGUUCGAAUCCUGGUCUGGCCC